UUGCUACUUUCUUAAUACUUCAUAUUUUAUAAGUAUUAUUUUUUUUAUCACAUUUUAGUUUUACAUCUUAACAUUGUUGUUUGGUACCAUGGAUGAUCUGUUUAAUGUUCAUUUAUGUGCUGACUUUAACAAUUUUGGAAGCGAAACAGUUUCAACAAACACGGGUAACUUUUUCCUUAAUUUUAAUUAAAUUAAGAUUAUUUGGUACUUGUAGAUAUUCUGGGGCUAAAGUCAAAAGCUACAUUAGGGACAACAGCACUCAAUAUGGUACUCUUACAGACUCAAGUGUAGUUGUUUGAUCAAUUGAUUCUAAUGUUUUAUUAGCAUUUUAUUGAUUCUUUGUUAGUUACAUUUGAUGAUGAUCAUAUGAAUAGUUAAGAUCUAUGAAAAACUUCAAUUCAACGAAAGUUAAGUACCUUUUCAAGCUGAUGUAUAAAAUUACUUCUACAAACUUCAAUUCGAUUAUACCUCGGUCACACAGCCACCACAACUUCCAGUCGUUCCCAGCUCUCCUGCAGAAUCAAAACUUAAUUAGGCAUUUAAUCAAAAACUUGAUGAACACAAUUCAAAGAACAAUUCUGCCUUGUCCUGUAUCUGACCAUGAUGUGCACAUUAUACAAGAUUAAGUACUUACAUGACAGUUAAUUUAUACAAGAUUGUUUGCUAUGUUGUAUAUAUUCUAGGGCUAAAGUCGAAAGGUCCAUUGGUGGCAGCAGCACUCAAUAUGCUAGUCUUAUAAACUCAAGUUUAUAUCUUUUAAUAUAUGUUCGGUUAUUUAACAACAUAUUUUGAUAACAAACGAAGGUGAACACGAAAAUAAUUUUAUAGCCCUGAGAUUAGAAAAAGACGUAUAACAGGCAAGAAAGUAAUUUUAUGAAACCAUGUUGAGGUAAAAUGAGGAAAACAACCGUGUAGUCAUUUAAGAUGAUUUUCGUCCUAAUUUACAGCAAAAAGAUGUGACAACUCGAACUUUCGACUUUCACUUUCGCAUUAAAUGCACGUUGACUUUGACUGUUUAGUUGUUGAUUUGUUUGACUUGUAAUGUAUACGUUGUGAUAUGAUAAAGUGUUUGUGAUUUCAUGAGUAUGUGGUUGGUUGUGUAAGUGUAACAUGAGAUUGUAACUUAUUAAGCCCAUUACGGAAUUAAGCUCACUUAGGAUUCGACGAAUCAGGUGAUUCGCCAAUAGUGACUCGACGAAACACAAGUGUGUUUCGCCAAACCUAGUCUCGACGAAUCAAAUGUGAUUCGCCGGCCCGUUGAUUCGCCAAGCCCAUUUAGGGCCCAACAGUUACGGUUUACGUAUUUAAGGGUCAUAGGCUCGUGAGUUGUGAUCUUUUGCGAAACCCUAGAGCCCCUCUCUACGAACAGACAGCUGCUUCUCUCUCACUCGGAGUUCUUGACGUUUUCCCUCUCUCCCAAACCCUUGCUAGUCUCGUAUCGUUUUGGUUAGUAUUCCGUCUUGGUGACUUGAUUGUUGUUAUGUGUUAGAUGAUUGUUAUACAUACAUGUAUUGCGAAUGAUAUGCACUUAUAUGCGGAUCGACUGUGAUGUGUUUUUGUCGUUUAUUGAAUUGACUAGCAUGAUAGGGAUUCUUAUAACCUAGUGAAUGAAUGAGGCACCUUGUAUAAAUCAAUGAUUUGUUAUAAUACAAAUCAUGACCGAGCCGUUACGUAACUGUUAUUGGUAAUUGGGAUUCAUGUUAGAUGAUAUGUGCCUUGAUGUAAUUGGUAUGAUCAAUGGUUACUGUAUGAUGAUGAUUGCAUGAUUUUCUUAUGAUGAUGAUGACGGCUGUUAGGGUUUUUGACGUAACUGAUGUUGUUCGACGUAUCAGACUGUUUGACGAAAUAGGAGUUUGGCGAAACAGAGAAUGUGUUUCGCCAAGGGGUAAUCGACGAAAUAGGAAGGGUGUUUCGCCGAGGGUAGUUGACGAAACAGAAUGUGUUUCGUCAACAUGUGUUUCUUCAACUUGGAUAACUUGCACAGUAACCUAGUUAGACUAUGUUAGAAGUUAACUGUAUUAACUAAUUGCUGUUAAAUGAUGAACAUGACUUGUAUAAUCUUGAAUACGUGCAAUGUGCUACUUGGUGAUAUGUCUAUACGGGAACAAAAUAAAUACAAACUGAUUGUGUAUACGUGCAUACCCUAGGACGUGAUUGAUUUACUUCGAGCACAUACUUAGCAUACCGAGCAAACCAAGUAGUGAGUAUCCGUUCACGUAGGUUUUACGUGAGUGUCCUUCGCAACCUGAGGACAGUGAGUAGCUUAGGUAUACGUAGGUUUUACGUAUGUAUCCUGCACAACCGAGGACGAUGGUAUGGUAGUCUAGUAAUGGCAUCCGUAUGUAUCUAUUCAACCUUAUCCUUUCAAUCCCAUUCCCAACACCCCGGGAAUCCCAUGCCUUGGUAAGAGUGUGAACUCACCUUGGGUUUGCUCGGCAGUUACACAAAGUUCGGUUAAGCUAUAUAGUGAUCAACCACAUCCUAGCAUGGUUAUCAUACAAGUCAGGUUCGUAUUCGAAUAUAGCACAUAGGUUCUACACGUAUUGUGGCAAUUAUAAACAUGGCAUGCACAAGUAUUCAUAGCAGUCCAAUAGCAGACACGUAACAAGUUCAAGUAUCCGGCCCAAAUCAAUUGGGCUCGUGACAGUGCAAGUCCAAACAGUGUGCAUGUGUAGCUGGUCUCGAGUCGAGACUAGGGACCUCGAGUCGCAACAAAAGGAGGUCUCGACUUGUGCCUAAAUCACUCGAGACAAGGUGGUCACGAGUCAGGUCUCGAGUCGCAACGGGACUCGCAAAUGCAGGUCUCGGGUUGUCAUGAUCAGGUCGAGAUCACACGGUCUCGAGUCGCAACCGGACCCGCAACCGUGGUCUCGGUUUGUGUUGUUUGUGUUGAUAAGGUGGUCUCGAGUCGAGACUGAGGGUUCUCGACUCGCAACCCUGGUCGAGACAACGUGUAACAGAUUUCCAUCUUUUGCAGCUCAAUCAAUUCCUAAAUAUCAGCAAACAUCUUGGCAAUUUCGAAAAACAGAUCAAUCAACAAUAUCCAAAGAUACGGUUAACCUAAUAUCGAUCAAACAGGCAUCACAUCAUGAACUCGUAUGAACCCUAACCCAAUCAACAUCAACAAUAUUCACAUGAACAAUAAUCUAUCCAUUUAUAUGAACAUCAACCUAUAUACGCAUAACCGAAUCUCGUGUGCAUAAUUUUCCAUCGUUUACUAGCAUGCAUAACCCUAAUGUAAACAUAUACAAUCAAAACAAUCACAACAUCAUCUAAUAUAAACUAACCGAUUAUAUCAUCAACAUCACCAAGCAUGAAAUCGGUAAACAUAUACUAACCGGGUUAGAGGAUUGAAACAAGUGAGGUCUCGAGUGAACAAGGGUGAUCCGAACAAGGAAUGAUCUUCGAUCGCCAAAGGGUUGUUGCCGUCGGUUUGAGAGAGAGAAUGAGAAGCUAGGGUUUUUGUGUGUGAUAGUGUUUUUGCAACAUGUGAGAAAGUUACAAACACUCUAAGUGUUAUGCGCAACAAAGGAAUGGGAUUGGAUGACUUAUUGUAUAUACUCAGAUGAUAGAACCUAACGAUAAGAUACGGCUAGACUAGUAACACUUAUUGAACUGAUCUUCACACACCUGCCAAGGGUUGGCCGCGAUAUUAUGACUGACUUCGCACACCUGCCUUAGGAAGGCCGCGAACUAAAUUUACUAAUCUUCGCACACCUGCCUGGGAGGCCGCGAUACAAAUAAACCUAGUCUAGAUUACUUGGGAAAAACAUCCCCUAAUAUCUUCGCAUACCUGCCUGGGAGGCCGCGAUGGAAACUGAUACGAUAC
rnacentral:lncRNA from 1 species